UCAUCAUAAUCAUCAAAUUAUUUUAUGAAUUAAUUUAACUGGCAUUCAAUGAAGAGAAGUUUAUUAUUUUGGAGUUCAUGUAAUAGUUCACUAUCAGCAGGCAAAGGAUCAUCAUGUCAUCCCAGUGAUCCCAAUAAAGUUUAACCACACGUGAAAUCAUCUUCAGAGGGUUCUAAGAGUGAAAUCUUGUAAAGGUGUAUUUAAAUAUCAAGAGGAGAUUUAGACAAGUCUAUCAUCAGGACAUAGUUAAUUACUAUACAUAAGCAGUUAUCAAUAAUGAAUUUCACACUCAAUUAGCAGCAGCAAAAUGUACUUGAAUAAUUAAUUAUAUGGAAGCAUAACAAUGUUAUUAAUUAAUCAAUGUAGGACCCCCUGCAACAGUUAUAACACAUAACACUGAGGGGGCGGCCUAUAAUUUAUAAACUAGGGGGCUGUUUUGGGGGUAAUUGCGGAUAACGAUGGGGCGUUGCGGAUAACAAGCCGACAUGGGAGUCACGAGACACCAAUGCUUGCACUCCUGUCUUCCACCGUAAUGUCAUGUAACCGUGAAGUAAAUCAUAUGAAGAGUUACUUCAGUAUUGAAUCAAUAUUCUGUUCAUUCACCUUAAAAAAUGAGAAAAAAAUUCAGUAAAGCUUUUGACCAUAAUUGGAUAAAAAAUAGAUGUAAAAAAGUGUCCAUGAGAUUAAGAAAAAAGAAAAUAGAGAACAUCUAACAGAAAAUUUGUCAGUUUUUAAAUAAAAUGAACAGUUUGUUAUGGUAGUAGUGGUUGUGAUCUUGGUGUAUAGCAAAGCAACAGCAGGAAUAGCAGCUACAGAAAUGAGGAUAUGGUACAGGAUGCCUCGAGGGGUUACAAUACGAUUUGUCGCGACGGUUUCUAUUGUACUUUGAGAUUUCAAUAGGGCAUUACGACAAUAAGCCAUUGACAAUGUAGGUACACGCGUUACGCAAAGGGCGAAAAAGCUCUCAGCUCAAGAAUAUAAACCCGCUUGACUGUACUUUUCACGCCUUUGCUAUUGCUCGCUUAUGAUCUUUAUAUACAUGUACAUGAUUUAGUUGUGCUACUAUUAUACUACUCUUAUUCCCGCAGUCUCUUACCAAAUAAUACAUUUGUUUUGGCUAAAUAUCCUAGUAUGUUCUAUUGAAAUGAUGUAUAAAUCAUUUUAUUUAUUCAACAAUUUUUUAUUUUUUUUAUUUUAUCAGCAUUAUGGUUGUAUAAUUAUUUCAAUGAAAGUUGAUGAAGAAAAUUUUAAC